ACUAAACAAAAACUAGAUCUAGCUCCCCCCCCCCCCCACUUGAAGACAGAAAAUCAAUUUUGGUUAAAAGUAAACGCUUAUUUUUGUUGUUAUGCCAUUAAUUUUUUAUCCAACAUGGCGCUAACGUGCAUUAUCCUAAUGACUAUCUGUCUACAUCAUGUUCAUAAUAAACACGGAUAUCGCCUUAGAGUUCUCAGUCCAUUGUGUACCUAGGUAUUACGUCAUUGAAAUGAGAGAUGAUUUCGUGGGUUGUUUCUUGAUCUAAGUACAUCAGCUUUAAAGAGCCCAGUCAUGAGCCCACUAUUGGAAUUCUUCUGUUUUGAAGAGCAAAGUUCUAUGAUAAGCCUGGAGAUCCAUCAAGGUUAAUGUUAUGCAAGAACUGUUGUGUCAAUGUGUGGCAAGGCUUAGAGAGUAUGUAGAUCUUUGUAAAACAUGCAAUUAUUGAAUCCUUGAAUGUGUAGAAAUAUGACAUCAUCUUGAAUGUAUUAUCGGUAUAGUUUGUAAGAGAGACUGUAUUUGUGUUUGAUAGAGAGAGAGAAUGUCCCAUUUCUUGCCACACAUGGUACAUGAAUCAGUUUUAAGCUCCAAAAUGGAUAUAUUCUUACAUAACAAAAUUUCAUGUAAAGAGUUUUUUUUGUCUAAUCAAUAUAUUUCUAAGACAUUAAAAUCACAUCAAAUCUCUCAU